rnacentral:rRNA from 1 species
GAUGAACGCUGGCGGCGUGCCUAAUACAUGCAAGUCGAGCGAACAGACGAGGCGCUUGCUCCUCUGACGUUAGCGGCGGACGGGUGAGUAACACGUGGAUAACCUACCUAUAAGACUGGGAUAACUUCGGGAAACCGGAGCUAAUACCGGAUAAUAUAUUGAACCGCAUGGUUCAAUAGUGAAAGACGGUUUUGCUGUCACUUAUAGAUGGAUCCGCGCCGCAUUAGCUAGUUGUUACGGUAACGGCUUACCAAGGCAACGAUGCGUAGCCGAACUGAGAGAGUGAUCGGCCACACGGGAACUGAGACACGGUCCAGACUCCUACGGGAGGCAGCAGUAGGGAAUCUUCCGCAAUGGGCGAAAGCCUGACGGAGCAACGCCGCGUGAGUGAUGACGGUCUUCGGAUCGUAAAACUCUGUUAUUAGGGAAGAACAAAUGUGUAAGUAACUAUGCACGUCUUGACGGUACUUAAUCAGAAAGCCACGGCUAGCUACGUG